UCUCUGGUGGCUCAGAUGGUAAAGAAUCUGCCUGCAAUGCAGGAGACCCAGGUUCCAUUCCUGGCUUGGGAA
rnacentral:tRNA from 1 species